AUGGGUUCGGCGCUUCUCUCUGACCCCGAGAAAAUUGAAGCUAUACUAAGCAGUCUUGUGAAUGGCAUUUCAAAACCUGUUACAUGUAAAAUCAGAAUCCUUCCUACACUGGAGGACACAGUGAAUUUAGUGAAGAGAAUUGAAAAAACAGGAGUGGCUGUCA